rnacentral:rRNA from 1 species
GACGAACGCUGGCGGCGUGCUUAACACAUGCAAGUCGAACGGAAAGGCCCUGCUUUUGUGGGGUGCUCGAGUGGCGAACGGGUGAGUAACACGUGAGUAACCUGCCCUUGACUUUGGGAUAACUUCAGGAAACUGGGGCUAAUACCGGAUAGGAGCUCCUGCUGCAUGGUGGGGGUUGGAAAGUUUCGGCGGUUGGGGAUGGACUCGCGGCUUAUCAGCUUGUUGGUGGGGUAGUGGCUUACCAAGGCUUCGACGGGUAGCCGGCCUGAGAGGGUGACCGGCCACAUUAGGACUGAGAUACGGCCCAGACUCCAAUGGUAGGCAACGGUGGGGAAUAUUGCACAGUGAGCGGGAGCCUGAUGCGACAACGCCGCGUGCGGGAAGACGGCCUGCGGGUAGUAAACCGCAUCCGCCUGUGACGAAGCGUGAGUGACGGUAACGGGUGAAGAAGCACCGGCUAACUACGUG